AUGGAAGUAGAAGAUCGUUGGUUGUGGACUUUACACCCCUCUUCGUGCUACACGGUUAGUAGUGCUUACAAAAAUUUAUCUGAAGCUGAUGUCAUCAAUAAUCAGACUAACUCCCAAUUUUUCUGUUUGAAGACUAUAUCGUUAAAGGUAUCUAUUUUUUUCUGGAGACUAUUACUAAAUCGUAUUCUGUCGAAGGACAAUCUGGAUAAGCGACAGACUGUUGUCACGGACGAUCAAAGAUGUGUGACAAUUUGUGGCAUGGGCUGA